rnacentral:rRNA from 1 species
UACGUAGGUGGCAAGCGUUGUCCGGAUUUAUUGGGUUUAAAGGGUGCGUAGGCGGUCCUUUAAGUCAGUGCUGAAAUACUCUAGCUUAACUAGAGGGGUGGCAUUGAUACUGGAGGACUUGAAUGAAGUCGAGGUAGGCGGAAUUGACGGUGUAGCGGUGAAAUGCGCAGAUAUCGGGAGGAACACCAGUAGCGAAGGCGGCACUCUGGGCCGGUACUGACGCUGAGGAGCGAAAGCGUGGGGAGCGAACAGG